ACUAGGGUAAUCUAGUGGACAUAGUAUCUGCCCGGUAAGCAGGACACUGUGGGUUCGAUUCCCACCCCUGGAU